UUUUGUUCAGUAGAAACAAGAACAUCACGACAUGGAACUGUAUUUUAACGACAAUGAAUUGCAAGUUGUUUCAGUUGCCUUGGUUGUCGUUGGCUGACUAUUCAUAGCACAUGUGCUAUGUUUUUCUGAGAUACUGUACUAUGCCCGUGAAAGGAAGCAUUGGCUUGUCUCGACUAUCCAGAAUGCACGGAUAUUUAAAUAACUUGCCCAAUUUUUCAGAUAAUAUUGUAAUUAUUACGACUAGAAAAAUAGGAGUGAAGAAAAAAAUACAGAUAUUGUAAAUCAAGAAGGAGAUAUUUACCUCUUUUUGUUUUUUGAAAUAUAUGUAAAAAAUGGCACGUGACCAUUGUAAAGGUAUCUUACUUUGAGUAGAAAGUCACUAACAGAUCUGCAUUAAUUCAUUAUCGCGGGUUCGUCUAGGACGCUUAUCUGAGUAGAGUUUAGUAUGAAGAAAAUGUAGGGGCGAGGUUCAUGUGAUGGUGACAAGAGGCUGAAUAGCCACAUGACAGCUAGAAAGGGAAUUAUCACCUCGAACUGUUUGAUUCCAAGUAAGAACCAUAUUCGUGGUAUAAAAAAAAUAUUUGGGUAAAGUUCAAAUUUUACAAAGAUGCCAUCAAAGAAUAAACUACUUAUUGAGAAUGGA